rnacentral:rRNA from 1 species
UACAGAGGUCUCAAGCGUUGUUCGGAUUCAUUGGGCGUAAAGGGUGCGUAGGCGGCGCGGUAAGUCGGGUGUGAAAUCUCGGAGCUUAACUCCGAAACUGCAUUCAAUACUGCCGUGCUUGAGGACUGGAGAGGAGAGACUGGAAGUUUACUGGUGGUAGCGGUGAAAUGCGUAGAUAUCGUAAGGAAGACCAGUGGCGAAGGCGGGUCUCUGGACAGUUCCUGACGCUGAGGCACGAAGGUCAGGGGAGCAAACGGG